rnacentral:rRNA from 1 species
AAAUUUUAAUGUAAACUUAAAUGUUAAUCUGCAGAGGUACAGCUCUACAGAAUAAGAUUACAACCUUAAUUAGCGAGUAACUUUAUUUUACAACCAUAGUUGGCCUAAAAGCAGCCACCAAUUAAGAAAGCGUUCAAGCUCAACAAUUAAACUAAUAUCUUAAUUCAAAAAAUAACACUAACUCCUAACUUAAAUACUGGAUUAUUCUACUUAUCCGUAGAAGUAAUACUGUUAAUAUGAGUAACAAGAUUCUAUAUCUCCAUACACACGUGUAUAUCAGCCCGAAUCCCAACUGAUAGUUAACAAUCAGAUAAACCCAUAUAUUUAAUUAAUAAUUUACUACCACAUUGUUAACCCAACACCGGAGUGUAAUUAUGGAAAGAUCAAAAAAAGUAAAAGGAACUCGGCAAACCUAAACCCCGCCUGUUUACCAAAAACAUCACCUCUAGCAUCACCAGUAUUAGAGGCACUGCCUGCCCAGUGACAUUAGUUUAACGGCCGCGGUAUCCUGACCGUGCAAAGGUAGCAUAAUCAUUUGUUCCUUAAUUAGGGACUUGUAUGAAUGGCCCCACGAGGGUUUAACUGUCUCUUACUUUUAAUCAGUGAAAUUGACCUCCCCGUGAAGAGGCGGGGAUAAAAAAAUAAGACGAGAAGACCCUAUGGAGCUUAAAUUAAGGUGUCCAACAAAAUUUUAAUUUCACCCAAUAGGAAUAAUUAUAUUUUAACUGGACAACAAAUUUUGGUUGGGGUGACCUCGGAGUAUAACAAAACCUCCAAGUGAUUUUAAUCAAGACUAACCCGUCAAGGUGAUAUAUUUAUUGAUCCAAUCAUAUUGAUCAACGGAACAAGUUACCCUAGGGAUAACAGCGCAAUCCUAUUUGAGAGUUCAUAUCGACAAUAGGGUUUACGACCUCGAUGUUGGAUCAGGACACCCAAAUGGUGCAGCAGCUAUUAAAGGUUCGUUU